rnacentral:rRNA from 1 species
CCUACGGGAGGCAGCAGUGGGGAAUAUUGGACAAUGGGGGCAACCCUGAUCCAGCCAUGCCGGGGGUGUGAAAAAGGCCCUCGGGUGGUAAAGCACUUUCAGGGAGGAAGAACGCCUGGGGGUUAAUACCCACCGGGAAAGACAUCACUCACGGAGGAAGCACCGGCUAACUCCGUGCCAGCAGCCGCGGUAAUACGGAGGGUGCGAGCGUUAAUCGGAAUUACUGGGCGUAAAGCGCGCGUAGGUGGCUUGAUAAGCCGGUUGUGAAAGCCCCGGGCUCAACCUGGGAACGGCAUCCGGAACUGUCAAGCUAGAGUGCAGGAGAGGAAGGUAGAAUUCCCGGUGUAGCGGUGAAAUGCGUAGAGAUCGGGAGGAAUACCAGUGGCGAAGGCGGCCUUCUGGACUGACACUGACACUGAGGUGCGAAAGCGUGGGUAGCAAACAGGAUUAGAUACCCUUGUAGUC